rnacentral:rRNA from 1 species
AACGAACGCUGGCGGCAGGCUUAACACAUGCAAGUCGAGCGCCCCGCAAGGGGAGCGGCAGACGGGUGAGUAACGCGUGGAAUCUACCCAUCCCUACGGAACAACUCCGGGAAACUGGAGCUAAUACCGUAUACGCCCUUCGGGGAAAGAUUAUCGGGAGUGGAUGAGCCCGCGUUGGAUUAGCUAGUUGGUGGGGUAAUGGCCUACCAAGGCGACGAUCCAUAGCUGGUCUGAGAGGAUGAUCAGCCACACUGGGACUGAGACACGGCCCAGACUCCUACGGGAGGCAGCAGUGGGGAAUAUUGGACAAUGGGCGAAAGCCUGAUCCAGCCAUGCCGCGUGAGUGAUGAAGGCCCUAGGGUUGUAAAGCUCUUUCAACGGU